CUCAAUUUUUUUCCCCAACUUCCGCCUCUAUCUCUCCACCUCUCUCUUCUCUCUCUCUACAAACACCUCCAAAUCUCAAUCUCUCCCCUCCUCUGAUCUCUUCGUCGCCAAUCGACCACCAAAACCACCCCCUCCUCUCCGAGUCCUCGUCGCCAUGCCGCCAUCUCCGGCGAACAGCCUUCGCCGUCGCCUCUUUCUUCUCCACCAUACGCGCUGCCAGCUCCUACCCCAGGCGAGUCCAGCCGCUGCUCCGAUGACCAGCCCCCUCCCUUCUCGUCCUCCACCAGCGAACAGCGCCGCCAUCGACGGAGACGGCCAGCCAAGCCUCCACGGCGCCGCUCCAUCCUCUGUCCUCCAGUUGCCUUCUUUCUCCCCUUCGACGAACGUCCAAUAGCCGCGACACAGCCUCGACUCCUCUCCCACAGUAAUACCUCCGGCAAACCCCUUCGGCGUUCCAACCAUGCAACCCUUCCUCAUCGAAAAUGAAGAAUCCGUCUUCAGAAUCUUAUUGGGAAGACAAAGUGUGUGAAUCACAUUCAGCAGAGUGGGAGAAAAGGUGAAGGAAUUUAAGAGAGGAUUUUGAAGGAUGAAUGAUAGCUUAGCUAGAGAAAUGAAUGAGAGACAACCUCAAAAACCCUGUGGUUGUGUGGGAAUUUUCUUUCAGCUCUUUGAUCCGAACCGUAGAUUUGCCAAGAAGCUGUUUCAAAGAAACUGCUUUCACUAGCUUGCUUGAAACAAUCUUCAAAAAAUUUUGGAGGGGAUGAGAAGCAGCCAAAGCUUCGUUUGAUUGCUGAUGAGACCAGUGGGGGUUUUCCAAAUGCAAAGAAUAAUGGAAUGACCGAUACACGUCAUGAAAGAAAGCGCGAAAUGAAAGCUCCAAGUUUGGUUGCUAGGCUCAUGGGUUUGGAAUCGAUGCCAGCAGGAUCAGGCAGUAAGCCCUAAAAGGCUUCAGCUUCUGUAACUUGGAGCAAUGUGGCAGACAAACUUGGUGCUCUACUUGGCGGAUCUGAUAAAGAAGAUAUGGAUUUUGAGAUUGCCGAAAUAAAGAGUUCAGAACCUGGUUUGCAAAGGUUUAGAGCUAAAUGUGCUCUAACUUAUCCUACUAGAUAUUUUUCUCCUUUGGAAGAUGAAGCAGAUUUAGUUGGGAAUUCACUUGAUCACCAUUCAACUGACAACUACCUCUCCAGCAGUUCCAAUAGUAGCUCAAGUAUGGUCCCUGAUUCGACA